rnacentral:rRNA from 1 species
GACAGAGGUGCCAAGCGUUAGGCGGAAUCACUGGGCUUAAAGCGUGUGUAGGCGGGCGAUCAAGUACCUUGUGAAAUCCCACGGCUCAACCGUGGAACUGCUGGGUAUACUGGUUGUCUUGAGCCAGCUAGGGGCGAGCGGAACAGACGGUGGAGCGGUGAAAUGCGUAGAUAUCGUCUGGAACGCCGAAGGUGAAAACAGCUCGCUGGGGCUGCGCUGACGCUGGAGAC